CCUGCCCCUAGGGGCAUUGGAGAUGUGGCUGCUGUGUCACAUGUCACACGCCAGUAGGUGGCAGAGAGGAGAGAGGCUAUGUCUAUGCCCAGUGUUAAGAACAUAUGAAUGAAUAGUAGCCUAACAUU
ensembl:snoRNA Gm24255 small nucleolar RNA SNORA17